rnacentral:rRNA from 1 species
CCAAUAGCGUAUAUUAAAUUUGUUGUAGUUAAAAAGCUCGUAGUCGAACUUUGGGCGUGGCCGGGCGGUCCGCUGCUUCGGCGGCGAGUACUGCCUUACCUCAGGCCGCGCCUUUCCUCCUGGGGAGACGCGGGCGGGCUGCUUUCGGGCGGCCUGCCUGCGGGCAGCCAGGACGUUUACCUUGAAAAAAUUAGAGUGUUCAAAGCAGGCGCACGCUUGCAUAGAUUAGCAUGGAAUAAUGGAAUAGGACCAGUGGUUCUGUUGCGUUGGUUUCUUGGAACCGCGGUAAGGAUGAAUAGGGACAGUUGGGGGCAUUCGUAUUUCGCAGCUAGAGGUGAAAUUCUUGGAUUUGCGAAAGACGAACCUAUGCGAAAGCAUUUGCCAAGGAUGUUUUCAUUGAUCAAGAACGAAAGUUAGGGGAUCGAAGACGAUUAGAUACCGUCGUAGUCUUAACCAUAAACGAUGCCGACUAGGGAUCAGGCGAUGUUGCUUUCUGACUCGCCUGGCACCUUCAG